CCUACGGGUGACAGCAGUGGGGAAUUUUGCGCAAUGCUCGUAAGAGUGACGCAGCGACGCCGCGUGAAUGACGAAGGCCUUCGGGUCGUAAAGUUCUUUCGACAGGGAAGAAAAUGCCUAUAAGUAACUGUGUAUGUAUUGACGGUACCUGUAUAAGCAGCCCCGGCUAACUCCGUGCCAGCAGCCGCGGUAAUACGGAGGGGGUGAGCGUUGUUCGGAGGGACUGGGCGUAAAGAGCACGUAGGCGGUGUUGUAAGUCAUUAGUCAAAGACUAGAGCUCAACUUUAGUAAGGCUAGUGAUACUAUAAUACUAGAGUAUCAGAGAGGAUUGCAGAAUGCCUGGUGUAGCGGUGAAAUGCGUAGAUAUCAGGAGGAAUACCGUUAGCGAAGGCGGCAAUCUGGCUGGAAACUGACGCUGAGGUGCGAAAGCGUGGGUAGCAAACAGGAUUAGAUACCCUUGUAGUC
rnacentral:rRNA from 1 species